AGCCUGCUAGCUCAGUCGGUUAGAGCAUCGUGCUAAUAACGCAAAGGUCGUAGGUUCGAUCUCUGCGCAGGCCA
rnacentral:tRNA from 1 species